UACAGAGGUCUCAAGCGUUGUUCGGAUUCAUUGGGCGUAAAGGGUGCGUAGGUGGCAUGGUAAGUCGGAUGUGAAAUCCCGGGGCUCAACCCCGGAACUGCAUUCGAUACUGCUGCGCUAGAGUACUGGAGAGGAGAUUGGAAUUUACGGUGUAGCAGUGAAAUGCGUAGAUAUCGUAAGGAAGACCAGUGGCGAAGGCGGAUCUCUGGACAGUUACUGACACUGAGGCACGAAGGCCAGGGGAGCAAACGGGG
rnacentral:rRNA from 1 species